rnacentral:rRNA from 1 species
UGAAUACGAGACGCUAAGGCGUCGAAGUAGUGUAUGUCAUACUUCCAAGAAAAGCUUGCACUGUCAUAGAUAAAAAACGCCUGUACCAUAACCGACACAGGUGGGUAGGUAGAGUAUACUAAGGGGCGCGAGAUAACUCUCUCUAAGGAACUCGGCAAAAUAACUCCGUAACUUCGGGAGAAGGAGUGCCUUAUUCGUAAGGUUGCAAUAACAAGAUCCAAGCAACUGUUUAUCAAAAACACAGGUCUCCGCUAAGUCGUAAGACGAUGUAUGGGGGCUGACGCCUGCCCAGUGCCAGAAGGUUAAAGAAGUUGGUUAGCAAUUGCGAAGCUGAUAACUGAAGCCCUGGUGAACGGCGGCCGUAACAAUAACGGUCCUAAGGUAGCGAAAUUCCUUGUCGGGUAAGUUCCGACCCGCACGAAAGGCGUAAUGAUUUGGAUACUGUCUCGGAGAGGGGCUCGGUGAAAUAGACUUGUCUGUGAAGAUGCGGACUACCUGCACCAGGACAGAAAGACCCUAUGAAGCUUUACUGUAACUUGAAAUUGAAAUUGGACUUUAUUCGCGCAGUAUAGGUGGGAGGCGUUGAUUAUAAUCUUGUGGGAUUAUUGGAGCCAUCAGUGAGAUACCACUCUUGUAAUGUUAGAUUUCUAACUUUGAAUCAUUAUCUGGUCAAAGAACAGUUUCAGGCGGGCAGUUUGACUGGGGCGGUCGCCUCCUAAACGGUAACGGAGGCGUACAAAGGUUUCCUCUGAACGGUUAGAAAUCGUAUCUAGAGUGUAAAGGCAUAAGGAAGCUUGACUGUGAGACCUACAAGUCGAGCAGGGACGAAAGUCGGUCUUAGUGAUCUGACGGUACUGAGUGGAAAGGCCGUCACUCAACGGAUAAAAGUUACUCUAAGGAUAACAGGCUGAUCUCCCCCAAGAGUUCACAUCGACGGGGAGGUUUGGCACCUCGAUGUCGGCUCAUCGCAUCCUGGGGCGGUAGUACGUCCCAAGGGUUGGGCUGUUCGCCCAUGAAAGCGGUACGCGAUCUGGGUUCAGAACGUCGUGAGACAGUUCGGUCCAUAUCCGGUGUAGUCGUUAGAAUAUUGAGAGGAGCCUUCUUUAGUACGAGAGGACCGAGAAGGACAUACCUCUGGUGUACCAGUUAUCGUGCCAACGGUAAACGCUGGGUAGCUAUGUAUGGAGUGGAUAACCGCUGAAAGCAUCUAAGUGGGAAGCCCAUCUCAAGAUAAGUAUUCUCA